CUGAACCCACACCUCUGUGGGUUUCUGUGCAGCAAGGGCAAAGUUGCACCCUGUGAUCUCUUAUCCUAAUCCCUUAGAAACAACAGAAUCCAUGUGGAUCACAGGCUGCAAUCAGCCAUGCAGUGACCCCCAGGCUUCAUUAGCAUCAAGCUGCAGCACAGCAGCUGUUCUUUGUUCUCCCUCACCUGUGGUGUUUUCAUUUCUAGUAGCUAAAAGCAACGAGGUGGUUUAGGGACCAACUGAGGUGGAUACAUUUCAGGAUUUGGAGCCAGCUAUAAGCUCUGAUCUCCAUCCAUGACUCCAUCAAGUCAGAGCAGCCUGGAGUUUUGGAGCAGAAGGUUAUCAGGAUGAAGUCUGCUUCUCAUACCAUUGUGAAUGAAGUUGGUGCCUGUCUGGAUGCACAGCCACAAAUCAUUACAGAGGCAAGCAGUUAUGGUCAGAGAAACCAGAGAGGAAUUUGUUACAGUUAGCUGAAGGUCCAUAAGCUACGGAAUUGAGCCCGAAGGCAAGAGCAGCUUUUCAGAGUCUGUGCUGCCAUCUAGUGUUAUUGUCCAGCUUUCUCUGCACCUUGCAUUAUGCUGUACAAAUGUCCAGGUGUUACAAGGGACUUUCAUCUUCCAAAACAAAAGGUGAUGGACCAGCGACUAUCUGCAGUAACAAGUCACUGCCUGGGGAGAUAAAAGACAUUUCUUCUGGAUAGAAGUUACAUGUUAUGAGCUGUUUGUUCAGACUGAACAGUGAAACUAGAUAUAUGCCACGGAGAUAUACACCAUCUUCUGGAUCCUGCUGCACUUACGGAAGAUGCUACCAAGUCUGCCCAUUUAACAUCCUUUGCUGGCUGAAGUGGCCCUAUUCCCACCCCUAAGAAUCUGUCCCAUGAAUAUUUUAUGUAAACACUCCCUUAUUCACCUUGUGAGGUCAGACCAUUAAAAUCGGAUAUUAAAGUAGCAUUCUCAAAGCGGUUGAAGGGGAGCAGUGAUCAGCAGCACUAACUCAUUCCACGAUGACAGCUGCAUCUGGAGAGGAGCGUUUCUUGUCAUCACCCCACUCAUGUGUGCUAAGCCAGGAUAAGUACCCCCAUCUGCAAGACUGGACAUGAAUCUUCUGCAUACUCCCUGGUGGGACAUCCAGACAUGUCAUUAAGAUACAAGAACGUUGUGGUCAAGAGCUACGAGGCAGAAGUAAGACAAAAACAAGUCAUCCCUGCCAACUGGGCGAUGCAUGUGCUUGAGGGGAGAGGUUACCAAAGGGCAGCUAAGGAAGACUAUUGAAAGGGGUCCUUGGGACCAGCAAGAGAGACUCAGGACACCUAACGCACAAGCGCAGAGGGGUGGAGAAGUAUGCAAAGAGCUUAUGGGAAACAAUACGAUUGUUGCACCUGGACCGCUUCAGAAUGCGCGUAUAGCUGCAGUCUGAAAGCAAGGCAUGAACGAUAGGUGGAGCUAUCCGCCGUGCAUCCGGUGGUUCCCGGUCGGAGUGCCUGCCUCUUCAUGCUACAUUGGUGUUAAGAAGUUUCUG
rnacentral:lncRNA from 1 species